GGUUCGAUGGCGUAGUUGGUUAUCGUAUCUGUCUAACAUUUAACCUGGUUUACACAGAAGGUCCCCAGUUCGAGCCUGGGUCGAAUCA